GGACUACAAGGGUAUCUAAUCCCCUUCGCUCCCCUAGCUUUCGUUUCUCAGCGUCAGAAGAGACCCAGUAAGCCGCUUUCGCCACCGGUGUUCCUGAUGAUAUCAACGCAUUUCACCGCUCCACCAUCAGUUCCGCUUACCUCUGUCUCCCUCAAGCACUGCAGUAUCGGGCGCAGUUCCAGGGUUGAGCCCUGGGAUUUCACACCCGACUAACAGCGCCGCCUACAAACCCUUUAAGCCCAGUAAUUCCGAAUAACGUUUGGACGGUACGUAUUACCGCGGCUGCUGGCAC
rnacentral:rRNA from 1 species